UACACAGUCCCAGCUCCGCAUUGCAAUGUUUGAUGUGUCUCUGCGGCGUUUUAUGGCUGUAAGAUUAAAACCCAGCCCAUAUUAUAUUUUAGUUAUUGUUGUAAUUGUGCAUCAAUGAUCAAAAAGUAUUUGGCACA
rnacentral:snoRNA from 1 species